rnacentral:rRNA from 1 species
UACGUAGGGUGCGAGCGUUGUCCGGAAUUAUUGGGCGUAAAGGGCUCGUAGGCGGUCUGUUGCGUCGGGAGUGAAAACUCAGGGCUUAACCCUGAGCCUGCUUCCGAUACGGGCAGACUAGAGGUAUGCAGGGGAGAACGGAAUUCCUGGUGUAGCGGUGAAAUACGCAGAUAUCAGGAGGAACACCGGUGGCGAAGGCGGUUCUCUGGGCAUUACCUGACGCUGAGGAGCGAAAGUGUGGGGAGCGAACAGG